GAAAAUCACAUUUCAUUUGUUUUAAUAAUUUUGUCCUCAUAUUGCUUUCUGAGUUGACCUUGCUCAUAAACUGAGAACAUCAAAAAUGAUCAUGACUUAUGUUCUUUAUCAUCUCUCUUUCUGUGCAGUGUUACAAGCUUUAGUGUUACAAGUGCAGAUAUGGAAUAUAGCAUUUCCAGGAAAAACCAAAGAAUUUUGCGUUCAAAAUUUGUAUUUCUGAAUUAUGUUUCUUAUCAGCAGUAAAAUAAUUUCGUAUGUUUAACAAAUUUGAACUUGAAGUAAUAAUCUCAUGUUUUUUAAUACAAGAACUUCAUCUAGGUUAUGUUUGCUCCCCUUUCUCAGGAACCCAAUGUUGAGUGGACAUGGAAGGAAUUUAGAUAGACAAUGUUGUUGAAGAGUGACUUUCUAACCGGCGUUACUCCUUCCUACCAAUAAUAAAAACCAAUCUGAAAAAGUUUUCACUGUUUAUUAAAGUUUGUUUCUCAUGUCAGCUAAAAAUAUAUUGAAAAAUUUAUAUAAAAAUAAUUUAUUAUAAAAAAAAAAUACUUCUUUCAUUAUAAUUUUAAUAAAUUAUACCAUCUGCUAUUCAAACUAGUCCGUGCAUUGCACGGGUUACCAACUAGUUAUAUUUAUUUUGGAACGGAUGAAGUAUCUUUUAGAUGUGUUUUAUUAAUUUUAAAGCGUAUGAAAUUAUUUUCAUUAAGUGGACAAAAAUUAGAUUUUGGGAGUUAUAUUAUUGAAAUAUCCUUUAGUUUAUUGCGUUAAAAUUAAAUCUUAUUUGUGAAUCUCAUAAUUGAUGCUUUGGCGUUAUCUACUCAGAUUUGAUUCGAAUCAACUCAACUCAACUCAAC
rnacentral:lncRNA from 1 species